ACGUAGGGCGCAAGCGUUGUCCGGAAUUAUUGGGCGUAAAGAGCUCGUAGGCGGUUUGUCGCGUCUGCUGUGAAAUCCUGAGGCUCAACCUCGGGCUUGCAGUGGGUACGGGCAGACUAGAGUGCGGUAGGGGUGACUGGAAUUCCUGGUGUAGCGGUGGAAUGCGCAGAUAUCAGGAGGAACACCGAUGGCGAAGGCAGGUCACUGGGCCGCAACUGACGCUGAGGAGCGAAAGCAUGGGGAGCGAACAGGAUUAGAUACCCUGGUAGUCCAUGCCGUAAACGUUGGGCACUAGGUGUGGGGCUCAUUCCACGAGUUCCGUGCCGCAGCAAACGCAUUAAGUGCCCCGCCUGGGGAGUACGGCCGCAAGGCUA
rnacentral:rRNA from 1 species